AAAAGACGCUUCUACCGAGUAUC
rnacentral:snRNA from 1 species